UACCACCUAAUGGUAAAAUCCGCAAUCACUUAGUUGUCAACCCGAUAUAUGUAAGUCUAUGUAUAUGUAACAUGAUUAAAGUGCCAAUAAAAUUUCAGAAUGUUUCAUAUAUAAAACGCGUAAUAUAAUUCGCAAAAUGUCUACAAGUGUCUGAACAGUCUGGCGAGCUACUGUAGAGAGACAGAAGAUCCUCUUCUGGGUAACUAACGACCGUGUCGGAGGCGGAGGGAUGAAACCAGAGGAAGAAAAAUGAAGAGAUAGAGAGGAGGGUUUUAGGGAGAAAUAAUGAGUCAGAGCAUUGUUAUUAUUACGUACGUGUUGUUGGUCCGGGUUCAACAUGUCUGCCAAGCAUUGUUUCCUUUUUCGAGCUGGCUGCAUGGCUCAAGGACAGCGCCAGACAAUGGAUCGAGCUGUUCGAUUCGAGCAGUUCUCUUUUCCAUUUACCGCGUGCAUUCUAUUCCCUCCAACUUCCCAGUCUAAUUUAUUUCAUUUCAAUGUUUUAAUAAUAAUUUUAAUGAUCUCAAUGUGGCCAAAGAUCGAGUAUGUGACAAUUUGUCGAACAAAGAGUGGAAUUUGCUUGAACGAAGAACGAAGAAUUAUCUCUUUAGAGAAUUAUUUCUCUAAAAUUUCAUUUGAAGAUUCUCCGCCUUCAACUUCAACUCUAACAGCGAUAUAUAUCGUUACCGAGUAUUUUAUGAGCAAAUUUCUAAUCGUCGGAACAUAUUUUACAUAAAUGAGCAUUUCUACUGCUAACGUGACGUAAAAGAGGCAAAAAGUAUGUAAAAAUCGAAACAACGAAUAUGCAUGCACCGAAUCGAGCGAGUCAUCACGCUCCAGCUGAAAAGUAUUCAUUUUUCUCACGUAAAUAUUUCUAGAAUGAUCGAAUAAUGACCGAGAGGCGCGUGUACGUACGACAUUUACAGACAAAAGAGCCCACGUACUGCCAAUAAUAUGCAAUUUCUUGCCUUCUAAUUGAUAUGACUUAUUGCGCAACUGACACGUUUCGAGCUGAUCGGAUCGGACAAAUUUAAGAAGCUUCGUUCCGUCACCGUGAAAUACAUUCUCUCUGUUACACGUUAUUUAUUUAGACAAUAACCAGCGAUAUCGUUUCCAUCGUGUAAUAAGUAUUCUAUACGAUUCUCGAAUAUUCCAACGCGUCUUCGACUAUCUUUCAUCGAUUCGAACGAUGGCGCUUGUUACGAUCUAUUGAGAAAUGUAUAAUUUCGUGUGCUAAACUAGAUUAGCCGUGUAGUAGUAACACGCGUAUGUGAAUAUCAGUGUAUGGAAGUAUGUGUGUGCACAACGUCUCGAAAAACAAAUGAUUCUAACUGUUCCGUUGGCACUGUGAUACGGAAGAUGGUGAGACAAAAAGAAUGCUGAGACGCGUGCAAAUUUAUAUCGACAAAGAUCUUGGAAAUCGUUUAUUGAAUAAAUCUAAAACUAUUUUAAUAUGAAUUCUAAGUGUAACCUUGGUAUUCCUUUACUUUUAUUUCGGCGAUUAAGAUCCACAAUUCUUAACACGAUCAUGAAUCUGAACGGUGGACAAUAUAUAACAAAUUUCCAAAUGCCGCCAUACUGAAACGAUGCGUCCAUCGUGUCUUGUUCCGCUUUAGCGAUUGUCUUAUGGAAAUAAUCGUGGAGCGUUGCACAGUUGAGGAGCGAGUGAAAAUUAUUCAAACGUUUGAUCAAGAAGCUGCUCCUUCAUCCUGAUACAUUGGCCAAGGGAUUAUUUGAAGAAACAAACAGAUAUACGUAGACUUAAGAGAUUCAAAGCAUUGGGUGCAAAAGACAAAUUUUAAGUGAUUCUUAGAUAAGAGAAGAUAGCUCAGGGAAGACAGUUAUUAAUUACAAGGAAAUCAUACGUCCAGUCGUUAAAGGAUACGAUUCUCUUGUUUUGGACAAAUGCUGGAUAUUUCAAUUACAUUGACUUCUUACCAAAGUACGUAUUAAGUUGCGAAUACGUAUUCAAAAAUUCAACUCUCCAAACAUACGUAACUCCAAAAAUCCAGCCAUUCCGAAAGAUAUCGCAAAAUUUCAACUACCGAGUAACGUACCAAAGUACUAAAAGUUCUACUAAAAUCUUCAUCUACGUAGUACGAAAACGUCUUCAAAGUAGGAUCAUCAAGCGCGUUAGUUGAUCAGCGGAAGCGUGACAAACGCACAAUCGCAACACAGCAAUACGUAGCAGCACAGCGAUGCGCGGACACGUGCAACAUGUUCAAAGCAUAAGUGUAAACGGAUCGCCUAACCGUGAUUAGAUAUGCGGCCAAGUACACGUGUAUAUAAGCAAAUGAGCUGUACGAUCCACAGUAUGAAAUCGUGGUAAAGCAGAGGCAGUGCGCGUGCCUUAUCUAGCGACCUCAACUUCCACACCUUUUCACCAUUUUCUACCCCUUUGCUAAUUACGCGACCCAACGAAAGUUCAAAGAACCGUCCGCCGUCGUCUUUUUUACCAUGUACCUUUUUCUCCUUUCUUUUUUUCCCCCCCUUGCGUAUUCUUCUCUCUUUGAUAAUCGGGGUUUCUUUUUUACGGAAACACCCUCGCGAGACGUUUCGAAAAGACACGCGGAAUAUGACGACGAUAAAAUCGCAUUGAUGGUAUUCGACGAUAAAAGUUAGUUGCGCAACGCUUCUCACUCCCCUCUCACGGAAAUAUCCUCUGUCGGAAAUAGAUUCAAGUACAUGGACAUCGAUGGUUGGCUUGGAAUUAUGCAUCGACUCAGUUCGUCAAGGCUGCUGGAUCACGACCGCGGUUCCGCGCGUGGGGCGUUUGAACUAUUCGCGCUUCCUUCGCGCAUUUUCCAUGAAAAUCACUUCUAUUACGUUUCCUACAGUGCAUAGGGUUCAUGGCGUGAUAGAUAAAAGCUUGACGUGAUUUUCUUAAUACCGUUCAAAUGACUCUUCAUCGUAUCCUAUUCCAUCUUUCACGAAUUUUAAUUUAUUCUAGCUGUUAGUCGUAUUUCUGUACGAUAUAUUGGGUUGUCCGAAAAGUUUCUUUCGUUUCAUAAGGUGAUAAUAGAU